GAUGAACGCUGACAGAAUGCUUAACACAUGCAAGUCUACUUGAUCCUUCGGGUGAUGGUGGCGGACGGGUGAGUAACGCGUAAAGAACUUGCCCUGCAGUCUGGGACAACAUUUGGAAACGAAUGCUAAUACCGGAUAUUAUGUGAGUUUCGCAUGAAAUUCAUAUGAAAGCUAUAUGCGCUGCAGGAGAGCUUUGCGUCCUAUUAGCUAGUUGGUGAGGUAACGGCUCACCAAGGCGAUGAUAGGUAGCCGGCCUGAGAGGGUGAACGGCCACAAGGGGACUGAGACACGGCCCUUACUCCUACGGGAGGCAGCAGUGGGGAAUAUUGGACAAUGGACCAAAAGUCUGAUCCAGCAAUUCUGUGUGCACGAUGAAGUUUUUCGGAAUGUAAAGUGCUUUCAGUUGGGACGAAGUAAGUGACGGUACCAACAGAAGAAGCGACGGCUAAAUACGUGCCAGCAGCCGCGGUAAUACGUAUGUCGCAAGCGUUAUCCGGAUUUAUUGGGCGUAAAGCGCGUCUAGGCGGUUUGGUAAGUCUGAUGUGAAAAUGCGGGGCUCAACUCCGUAUUGCGUUGGAAACUGUCAAACUAGAGUACUGGAGAGGUGGGCGGAACUACAAGUGUAGAGGUGAAAUUCGUAGAUAUUUGUAGGAAUACCGAUGGGGAAGCCAGCCCACUGGACAGAUACUGACGCUAAAGCGCGAAAGCGUGGGUAGCAAACAGG
rnacentral:rRNA from 1 species